AGUCGUAACAAGGUUUCCGUAGGUGAACCUGCGGAAGGAUCAUUAACACAAAGUCCAUUUGAAUGGAGGAAAAGAAUAGAAGGAAGAAAUUCUUAAAAUUCUUAGAAUCCAUAUCAAACAAAAAGAGAAAUGUUAAAGUCAUUAAUAUUUUUUUUCAAACAAUCUUUGAAAUAAAUAUUUGAAAAACAAGAGAUCACGAAUGAAAUGGAAGAGAUUAAAUUCUUUUCGAAUUCAUCUUAUUAAAAAGUAUUCUUUAUAGAAUACAAAUAUAAAAUAUAACCAAGACAACUUGUAACAGUGGAUACCUUGGUUCCCAG
rnacentral:misc_RNA from 1 species